AGAGCGAACGCUGGCGGCAGGCCUAACACAUGCAAGUCGAGCGCCCGUAGCAAUACGGGAGCGGCAGACGGGAUAGUAACACGUGGGAACGCGCCCUUCGGUUCGGAAUAACUCAGGGAAACUUGAGCUAAUACCGAAUACGCCCUUACGGGGAAAGAUUUAUUGCCGAAGGAACGGCCCGCGUCCGAUUAGCUAGUUGGUGAGGUAAUGGCUCACCAAGGCUACGAUCGGUAGCUGGUCUGAGAAGAUGACCAGCAUCACUGGGACUGAGACACGGCCCAGACUCCUACGGGAGGCAGCAGUGGGGAAUAUGGACAAUGGGCGCAAGCCUGAUCCAGCCAUGCCGCGUGGAUGAUGAAGGCCUUAGGGUUGUAAAGUCCUUUUAACGGGGAAGAUAAUGACGGUACCGUAGAAUAAGCCCGGCUAACUUCGUGCCAGCAGCCGC
rnacentral:rRNA from 1 species